GAUGAACGCUGGCGGCGUGCUUAACACAUGCAAGUCGAACGAACCUUCGGGUUAGUGGCGGACGGGUGAGUAACGCGUGAGAAUCUGCCCUCAGGAGGGGGAUAACGGUUGGAAACGACCGCUAAUACCCCAUAUGCCUACUGGUGAAAUGAAUUUCGCCUGAGGAUGAGCUCGCGUCUGAUUAGCUAGUUGGUGAGGUAAUGGCUCACCAAGGCUUCGAUCAGUAGCUGGUCUGAGAGGAUGAUCAGCCACACUGGGACUGAGACACGGCCCAGACUCCUACGGGAGGCAGCAGUGGGGAAUUUUCCGCAAUGGGCGAAAGCCUGACGGAGCAACGCCGCGUGAGGGACGAAGGCCUCUGGGCUGUAAACCUCUUUUCUCAAGGAAGAAGAUAUGACGGUACUUGAGGAAUAAGCCACGGCUAAUUCCGUGCCAGCAGCCGCGGUAAUACGGGAGUGGCAAGCGUUAUCCGGAAUUAUUGGGCGUAAAGCGUCCGCAGGCGGCUUUUCAAGUCUGCUGUUAAAGCCGUGGAGCUUAACUCCAUCAUGGCAGUGGAAACUGAAAGGCUUGAGUAUGGUAGGGGCAGAGGGAAUUCCCGGUGUAGCGGUGAAAUGCGUAGAUAUCGGGAAGAACACCAGUGGCGAAGGCGCUCUGCUGGGCCAUUACUGACGCUCAUGGACGAAAGCCAGGGGAGCGAAAGGGAUUAGAUACCCCUGUAGUCCUGGCCGUAAACGAUGAGCACUAGGUGUCGGGGGAAUCGACCCCUUCGGUGUCGUAGCUAACGCGUUAAGUGUUCCGCCUGGGGAGUACGCACGCAAGUGUGAAACUCAAAGGAAUCGACGGGGGCCCGCACAAGCGGUGGAGUAUGUGGUUUAAUUCGAUGCAACGCGAAGAACCUUACCAGGGUUUGACAUCCUGCGAACCUCUUAGAAAUUUGAGGGUGCCUUCGGGAAUGCAGUGACAGGUGGUGCAUGGCUGUCGUCAGCUCGUGUCGUGAGAUGUUGGGUUAAGUCCCGCAACGAGCGCAACCCACGUUUUUAGUUGCCAGCAUUUAGUUGGGCACUCUAGAAAGACCGCCGGUGAUAAACCGGAGGAAGGUGUGGAUGACGUCAAGUCAUCAUGCCCCUUACACCCUGGGCUACACACGUACUACAAUGCUACGGACAAAGGGCAGCAAACUCGCGAGAGCUAGCAAAUCCCAUAAACCGUGGCUCAGUUCAGAUCGUAGGCUGCAACUCGCCUACGUGAAGUAGGAAUCGCUAGUAAUCGCAGGUCAGCAUACUGGGGUGAAUACGUUCCCGGGCCUU
rnacentral:rRNA from 1 species